rnacentral:rRNA from 1 species
UACGAAGGGGGGCUAGCGUUGCUCGGAAUCACUGGGCGUAAAGGGUGCGUAGGCGGGUCUUUUAAGUCAGGGGUGAAAUCCUGGAGCUCAACUCCAGAACUGCCUUUGAUACUGAAGAUCUUGAGUUCGGGAGAGGUGAGUGGAACUGCGAGUGUAGAGGUGAAAUUCGUAGAUAUUCGCAAGAACACCAGUGGCGAAGGCGGCUCACUGGCCCGAUACUGACGCUGAGGCACGAAAGCGUGGGGGAG